ACUUCCUCUCGAAUACUUAUUUGUGCCGUUAAAAAUUCUCUUCGCAGAAGGAGGGCAAGCAGUCACGAAAAACCGCACCUGUGGUUUUUCUCUUCUAAUUAGAACCUGAUUGUGGCAUUGCCUUCAAAUUUUUCACUUCUGCAGUCAGUGACAGUGCCAACAACAGCAACGUGGGCAAGGAGUAUUUGCUGCUGGGAGGGGAAGUUGUAAUGAGCAAGAAGUACAUGGAAUACAGAAAAUGGUCCAACAUCCUUUUUGGUUGAAUCAGACUGGUUGGAACUGCAGAAUGGAAAAUGAAAGAAGGCUGCUUCCACUUUUUACUUGUAGCUGUUCAAAAUUAUGUUAGGCUAAUAAAAAGUUGAAAUCACUG